rnacentral:rRNA from 1 species
UACGUAGGGGGCAAGCGUUGUCCGGAAUCAUUGGGCGUAAAGAGCGUGUAGGCGGCCCGAUAAGUCCGCUGUGAAAGUCCAGGGCUCAACCCUGGAAUGCCGGUGGAUACUGUCGGGCUCGAAUCCGGGAGAGGUGAGUGGAAUUCCUGGUGUAGCGGUGAAAUGCGCAGAUAUCAGGAGGAACACCAAUGGCGAAGGCAGCUCACUGGGACGGUAUUGACGCUGAGGCACGAAAGCGUGGGGAGCAAACAGG